GAGGGUAUAGCUCAGUGGUAGAGCACGUGCUUAGCAUGCACAAGGUCCUGGGUUCAAUCCCUAGUACCUUCU
rnacentral:tRNA from 1 species